UACGGAGGAUGCGAGCGUUAUCCGGAUUUAUUGGGUUUAAAGGGUGCGUAGGCGGUCUGUUAAGUCAGCGGUAAAAUUGCGGGGCUCAACCCCGUCGAGCCGUUGAAACUGGCAGACUUGAGUUGGCGAGAAGUACGCGGAAUGCGCGGUGUAGCGGUGAAAUGCAUAGAUAUCGCGCAGAACUCCGAUUGCGAAGGCAGCGUACCGGCGCCACACUGACGCUGAGGCACGGAAGCGUGGGGAUCGAACAGG
rnacentral:rRNA from 1 species